AAACCUGCCCACUGGUCAUAAAAUGGCGGCUACUCUCGUGUUUUCCAUUUUGCAUAUUUUUGGUAUUGAAAUCAAAAUGUAAGCGCGUCGAGUCGAGCCUUGUUUUCCUCCGCCUUGCUGUUGCGAAUUCAAUCCAAAAAUCUCCUUUUUGUGAUAGAGACACUUUUGUUUGUGGAAUUUAUGAACUUUGGUGUAAUGCCGAGACGUUGUGCUUUCGGUUGUGCGCUCCGUGGUAAAGAUUCCAAUGCAUCGUUUCCCAGAUGCUGUCAAAUUUCCUGAGCAGUUUAAAACUUGGGUCAGUCUUGUUGGUGGAAACCCUGAAACAUCUGAUUUUGAAUAUUAUAAGAAGAAGUGAAUUUGUGAUAUACACUUUUCUGACAGACACAGAAAUCGUAAUCAACGGCUAGACACAUUGGCAGUUCCUAUGCUUCAUCUGCCUGGACAACAACAGAGUCAAGUAAUCUUAGGACAAGCUUCAUCCACACAACAUUUACUGCCUACAAUAAUACAGCAAGACUGUUCAGAGCCAUAUGUGAGCAACUUUAUUUUAGAAAAAGCAUCAACUUCAACAACAUUCCUACCUGUAGCUGCAGAUCUAAUGGCUCCACAGUGCACAAAGAUCAAGCAUCUUCAAGCAGAAAUAUCGCGCUUGCGAAAAAAAGGACAAUCUUUCAAAGCAAGGUUAAAAGGUGGUGCAGAUCGAUCAAUCGAAUUUUGUGCGGAAAAUUAACAUAUUAUGUGGGUGAAGACGAAACAAAAACAGCUGCCCAACAAUAUUAUGAUAAACAUAAACAUUAUAAAAAUAAAAGUAAU